UGAGGAAUAUUGGUCAAUGGGGGGAACCCUGAACCAGCCAUCCCGCGUGCAGGAAGACAGUUCUAUGGAUUGUAAACUGCUUUUCUUGGGGAAGAAUAAUGACGACGUGUCGUCAGAUGACGGUACCCGAGGAAUAAGCAUCGGCUAACUACGUGCCAGCAGCCGCGGUAAUACGGAGGAUGCAAGCGUUAUCCGGAUUUAUUAGGUUUAAAGGGUGUGUAGGCGGAUGUAUAAGUCAGUGGUGAAAGUCAGCAUCUUAACUGUAGAAUUUCCAU
rnacentral:rRNA from 1 species